UGGGGAAUAUUGCACAAUGGGCGCAAGCCUGAUGCAGCGACGCCGCGUGAGGGAUGAAGGCCUUCGGGUUGUAAACCUCUUUCGUCAGGGAAGAAGCGAAAGUGACGGUACCUGAAGAAGAAGCACCGGCUAACUACGUGCCAGCAGCCGCGGUAAUACGUAGGGUGCGAGCGUUGUCCGGAAUUAUUGGGCGUAAAGAGCUUGUAGGCGGUUUGUCGCGUCUGCCGUGAAAACCUAGGGCUUAACUCUGGGCGUGCGGUGGGUACGGGCAGGCUAGAGUGUGGUAGGGGAGACUGGAAUUCCUGGUGUAGCGGUGAAAUGCGCAGAUAUCAGGAGGAACACCGAUGGCGAAGGCAGGUCUCUGGGCCAUAACUGACGCUGAGAAGCGAAAGCAUGGGGA
rnacentral:rRNA from 1 species